UACGAAGGGGGCUAGCGUUGCUCGGAAUUACUGGGCGUAAAGGGCGCGUAGGCGGAUGUUUAAGUCGGGGGUGAAAGCCCGGGGCUCAACCUCGGAAUUGCCUUCGAUACUGGACAUCUUGAGUACGGGAGAGGUGAGUGGAACUCCGAGUGUAGAGGUGAAAUUCGUAGAUAUUCGGAAGAACACCAGUGGCGAAGGCGACUCACUGGCCCGUUACUGACGUUGAGGCGCGAAAGCGUGGGGAGCAAACAGG
rnacentral:rRNA from 1 species